rnacentral:rRNA from 1 species
AGAGCAUACGGUGGAUGCCUUGGCGAUAUCUGCCGACGAAGGACGUGACAAGCUGCGAAAAGCUGCGGAGAGAUGCAAAUAAUCGGCGACCCGCAGACAUCCGAAUGGAGCAAUCCGGCUGUGAUGAUGCACAGCCAUCCAUGCCCAAGAGCAUGAGAAGGGAACCGGGCGAACUGAAACAUCUAAGUAACCCGAGGAAAAGAAAUCAAACGAGAUACCCCAAGUAGCGGCGAGCGAACAGGGAAGAAGCCCAAACCGGUGAAGGAAACUUUACCGGGGUUGAGGACCAUCAGACCCGCGAAGAACCUUAGCCGAAACUGUUGGGAAACAGUGCCGAAGACAGUGAAAGCCUGGUAGGCGAAAAAGAGAAACGCGGAGAUGGCACCAGAGUACCGCGGGACACGAGAAAUCCCGUGGGAAACAGGGGGGACCACCCUCCAAGGCAAAACACAGAUAUCGACCGAUAGCGCAUAGUACCAUGAGGGAAAGGUGAAAAGCACCCCGGGAGGGGAAUGAAAGAGAACCUGAAACCGUAUGUUUACAAGCAGUCGGAGACCGCUUAAUAAUAAGGUCGACGGCGUGCCUAUUGAAGAAUGAACCGGCGAGUUACGAAGCCUGGCAAGGUUAAGCAGGAAAUGCGGAGCCGAAGCGAAAGCGAGUCUUAAGAGGGCGCAAGUCAGGAAGCGUAGACCCGAAACCACAGUGAUCUACCCAUGUCCAGGUUGAAACACAGGUAAAAAUGUGUGGAGGACCGAACCUAUAUCCGUUGAAAAGGGUUAGGAUGAGGUGUGGGUAGGGGUGAAAUUCCAAUCGAACGUGGAGAUAGCUGGUUCUCCCCGAAAUAGCUUUAGGGCUAGCCUCAGGGAAAAGAUUGCAGGCGGUAGAGCACUGAUCAGGAGAGGGACCUACCCGGUUACCAAACCCAGUCAAACUCCGAAUGGCUGCAAUCAUACCUGGGAGUCAGACUGCGACUAAUAAGGGCCGCAGUCAAAAGGGAAACAGCCCAGACCAUCAGCUAAGGUCCCCAAUGCCGUGCUAAGUGGCGAAGGAUGUGGCAUUUCAUAAACAACCAGGAUGUUGGCUCAGAAGCAGCCACCAUUUAAAGAGUGCGUAAUAGCUCACUGGUCGAGAGACGCUGCGCCGAAAAUGUCCGGGGCUCAAGCACGGAACCGAAGCUAUGGCAUGAUAGCAAUAUCAUGGGUAGGGGAGCGUUCUUAUAAGGAAGAAGCAUGACCGGAAGGACAUGUGGACGAAUAAGAAGUGAGAAUGCCGGUAUGAGUAUCGAAAAGAAAGGUGAGAAUCCUUUCCACCGAAAGCCCGAGGGUUCCUGAGCAACGAUCGUCGACUCAGGGUAAGUCGGGACCUAAGCCGAGGCGAGAAGCGUAGGCGAUGGACAACAGGUUGAAAUUCCUGUACCGGAUCAAGUCGAUCGAGCGAAGGAGCGACGCAGGAGGGCACAUGAUCGCGCGGCUGGAAGAGCGCGUCCAAGUGCGUAUGUUGCUGCAGAGGAAAACCCCUGCAGCUAAAAGCAGAGACAUGAUGGGGAGUUAAAGGAAACUUUGACGAACUCAUGGAUCCCACACUGCCAAGAAAAACUUCUAGCGAGACAAGAUCCGCCCGUACCGUAAACCGACACAGGUAGGCGGGGAGAGAAUCCUAAGGUGCGCGGGAAAACCCUCGUUAAGGAACUCGGCAAAUUGCAUCCGUAACCUAGGGAGAAGGAUGGCCCCCGGUCAGUGAAGAGCAGAAACGCUCAGAGCUAAAAGGGGCGGCAGAAAAGAGGCCCAAGCAACUGUUUACCAAAAACACAGGUGCCUGCGAAAGCGAAAGCUGAAGUAUAGGUGCUGACGCCUGCCCGGUGCCGGAAGGUUAAGGAGAGAAGUUAGCGAAAGCGAAGCAUCGAACUGAAGCCCCGGUGAACGGCGGCCGUAACUAUAACGGUCCUAAGGUAGCGAAAUUCCUUGUCGGGUAAGUUCCGACCCGCAUGAAAGGCGUAAUGAUUUGGGCACUGUCUCAACGAGGGGCCCGGUGAAAUUGAAAUACCUGUGAAGAUGCAGGUUACCCGCGACUGGACAGGAAGACCCCAUGGAGCUUCACUGCAGCUUGAGAUUGAAUCCCGGUGACAGAUGCACAGGAUAGGUGGGAGGCGCCGAAGCAUUGCCCUAGGGCGGUGCGGAGCCGAUGUUGGGAUACCACCCUUCUGUUGCUGAGAUUCUAACGCGAGGAGUAACGACCCUGCGGACCCUCUCAGGCAGGCGGUUUGACUGGGGCGGUCGCCUCCGAAAGAGUAACGGAGGCG